CACGUAGGGGACGAGCGUUGUCCGGAUUCAUUGGGCGUAAAGCGCGCGUAGGCGGCUCGGAAAGUCGGGCGUGAAAUGCCGGGGCUCAACCCCGGGACUGCGUCCGAUACUUCCGAGCUGGAGGUAGGUAGGGGAGAUCGGAAUUCCUGGUGUAGCGGUGAAAUGCGCAGAUAUCAGGAGGAACACCGGUGGCGAAGUCGGAUCUCUGGGCCUUACCUGACGCUGAGGCGCGAAAGCUAGGGGAGCGAACAGG
rnacentral:rRNA from 1 species